rnacentral:ncRNA from 1 species
AGGGGUGCGGAGCCAGGUUGCUAUGACCGGCGAAGCUGAGAUUAUACCCGUAAAACCUGAUGCAGGUAAUGCUGCCGUAGGGAUGUCGCGUAUU